rnacentral:rRNA from 1 species
UACGUAGGGUGCAAGCGUUAAUCGGAAUUACUGGGCGUAAAGCGUGCGCAGGCGGUUAUGUAAGACAGUUGUGAAAUCCCCGGGCUCAACCUGGGAACUGCAUCUGUGACUGCAUAGCUAGAGUACGGUAGAGGGGGAUGGAAUUCCGCGUGUAGCAGUGAAAUGCGUAGAUAUGCGGAGGAACACCGAUGGCGAAGGCAAUCCCCCUGGGCCUGCACUGACGCUCAUGCACGAAAGCGUGGGGAGCAAACAGG